rnacentral:tRNA from 1 species
GGGGCCAUAGCUCAGAUGGGAGAGCGGCUGCAUCGCACGCAGCAGGUCGGCGGUUCGAUUCCGCCUGGCUCCACCA